rnacentral:rRNA from 1 species
UACGAAGGGUGCAAGCGUUGCUCGGAAUUAUUGGGCGUAAAGCGCACGUAGGCGGCUUGGCAAGUCGGAUGUGAAAGCCCUCGGCUCAACCCAGGAAGUGCAUCCGAAACUGCUGAGCUUGAGUACUUAAGAGGAUCGCGGAAUUCCCGGUGUAGAGGUGAAAUUCGUAGAUAUCGGGAGGAACACCAGUGGCGAAGGCGGCGAUCUGGGAAGAUACUGACGCUGAGGUGCGAAAGCGUGGGGAGCAAACAGG